AAAAUCACAUACACACACAUAUUUAACUAUGAGAAGCUUUAAACACCAGGUCCAUAAGAGUCUCUUGGAACCAACUGCAAGCAGAGGCUUACUGCCCUGAGCUCCUAGGGCUGCUUGGAGCCAGUGAGUAGCCACAGGCAGUCAUGAACCCAGGCCUCUCCCUCCACAGAGGAUCUCUGUGGGUUUCAAGUCAUGCACACCUAUGAAUGGGGCGAAUGCUUUGCCUCUCAAACCAUGUAAGUCACCUGUGUCUCAAAAGCAGACAUCUGCCUCAGGGUUCUGUGAAGCCAGAAGGAAAGAGGUUACUUUUUCUUUUGGAGACUUUUUCUUUCGUUUAGGGUUUCCAGCCUGGCCUUCAACUGCCUAUGUAGCCAAGGAUGUCCCAAUUCUGCUUCCACUUCCUGGACUUCCGGGAUUUCAGAUUUAACCCACCAUAACUGUUUUAUGUGGUGCUGGUGAUAAAAGCCAGGGCUUUAGGCUCAGUAUGUGAGCCCUCCACCAACUUAGAUCCACCCCCAGUGCAGGAAGACGAAUUCUAAACUGAAGUUGGAGGAGGAUAGCCCCUAAAAGUUCAGUUUGGGGAUUCAAGACCUGGGGUUUUUCUAGCUAUAUGAGAUAACCUGAGAAGGUUGUGUAGCACCAGAAAUUAUGAAAGGAGCAGGGAUUUUGGAGACAGCCCAAAGUGGAGAUUUCAAUUUGCUUUUAUCGUCUGUGUCUUGAUUUGGGAAAAGUAUCAAGGCUUUCUACAUUUGAGAACCUGAUUUUUGGUUUUUGGAGACAGGGUUACUCCAUGAAGCCUUCGCUUUGUUGGAACUCAUCCUAUAGCCAAGGCUGGUCUGGAACUCACAGACAUCCACCUGCCUCUGCCUCCUGAGUGCUGGGGUUAAAGGCAUGCUCCACUAAGUCUAGUUCAGAAUCUUUAUUCAAAUGACCGGGAUAACAACCUCUGUCUUACAUGGCUGUUGUGUGAGCUGUUGUCACAUGACACAAGGACCUCAUCCCUCCUAGGUAGAAAUGCUGUAAGUAUAGUACAGUGUGUGUGUGUGUGUGUGUGUGUGUGUGUGUGUGUGUGUAAUUGCUUUCAAAUCUCUACUAAUCUGUCUUCCUUUUACCUGCCCCCAAACUUUUAAUCCAAGCAAGGCUUCUCCAGGAUGUGUCGCAUGCCUCUGGAAAUUAUGUUGAUGUGCCAAAGAGAGAUAAUUGGGUGAACUUUGCUACCACCACAGAAUUUCCUUAACAAACAUUUGAGGAUGCCAGCAGGGUCUGGGGGCACUGAUUCCAGGCAAUGACCAUAAUUUGCACCCGAUUUAAAGUAUCUCAUCAUCGGAGAGACUUCCUUACAGUCUUGGUCUGGGUCCAGUUAAAAUCAGAUUUGUCUGCCUUAAAUGUACUCAGAAUACUUGGGCUGACCAUCACGAGAGAGUAUCACGCCACGGCCUGGGACCAGAUCGUCUAGAACCUGAAGCCCGAUUUCCGCUGAAUAACGCAUGUUGCUUUUCAUUGUUGUAAAAUAAAAUCACGUCGAAGCAUCGUAAGUUGGAGGCCUAUACUUUGAAUUGAAUGACAUUGGAUGGACUCAUAAGUAAGUCUCCCUCCUAACUUCUGCCCCUCUCUUCUCUCCCCCUUCUCUCUCCUGAAGCAGGAUAAGGAAACUAGAGGCCCACACAUUUUCAUAAACUCAACCAUGAAGUAUAGAAGCAUUAUUUUAGCUUUGCUUAGAGUUUCUUAGCGAGGUUGACUAAGAAAUUCCUCAACUCAUCAAGUUCAUGAGACCCUGUCGUGCUGACCCUAUUCCUAAGGAGAAGGGCGCUACAUGAGGACCCAAGAGCCACCAGACAGGCCUUACUGAGCCUCCGUGGGUCUCUAACUGUACCAGGAGCGCCUCUGGAGUUCCCUUUGCUGUCCUGAAGGAAGGGCGGCCCAGUCUUCGCCAUCCCUGACUCCAUUCUGGACUCUAAAUUCAAGUCCAUGCUGGCCCCAUGACCUUGAAUAAAUUCUCUAACCACGUUAGCAAAUCUUGUUUCAUGGAUCCCCACUCCUGUGGGGGAACCUGGAGGGAGGCCAUGUGCAAAGUGCUAAAGCCACAAGGCCCACAGACAAUUUAUCUUUAUUUCACAGAUAAGAAACUGAAAUUGGCAGAAAUUACCUGACAUGUGCAAAAACCGUCUGCUUACCAGACAGAGACCAGGUCAGGAAACUGGCUCUGGGUUCUCUCCCCAGAACCAUGUAAACUGGUGUGCGGCACAAACCUGAAAAUCCAGCUAGGGUCAUUCUCUAUUGCAAGACGGAGGCCAGCCCCAAAUAGAUUUUGUCUCGAAAGAAAAAACCAAGAGUGCUGAGGCUAAAGUCUCUCCAGCAGCACAUUCUACACAGAUCACGCCAGUUCAGGGAGCCUGGAUUUCCCAGCCCUCAGAGGAAAGUAAGGUCCUUCACGCCGACAGAAAGCCACUGGGUAUCGCUGUGAUGUUACCACCGUCUCCUACGCACCCUCUAAGUUCUCUCCAUCUGAGCUCACUGAUGGAUCAGCCUUGCUGAUGUCAUCAGAGUAAUCAUUUACUGCUCUACCGUUCGAUCGGACACAACCAUAUGCAUGAUAUGUAACAUAUACUACGUAUACUACAUCUUUAUUCUACCCUCCGAUGUUUCCCAAUUUGAAAAAAAGAUACUCGGAUUCACUAUCGUGCCUGAGUUUACUUAAACCACUUGGACAGACAGAGGAUUUUUUUUUUUAUCAUGGGGGUGUGUGUUAUCCUAUUUGCUAUGUUUCUAAAAAUCCUUGAAGAUCAAUGUUACCCACUAAUCUAUAUAAAAUUUUGAUGCUAAAUACUUUUCUUCCUGCUAUCAGGAGCAAGACAAGAACAUUGCUUUCUAUAAAUGUGUCAGGAUGGAGAGGAAGCGGUAACACUGUGCUCCUCCAUAGAUCAUGCCCUAUUGCACGGAGGAAAUCUCAAAGAAGCCAUCAGCCUACCUACUCAGGUUAACAAGUCAGUUGCUGGGCCCCAGGGAAAAAAAAACACCCAGUCCUCAGCACUGAAAAAGGAAAAGGGAGAGAGAGGGAAGAAGAAGGGAAAGCAGUCAUACAAAAACAUUAUUUUCUUCUAUAUUUUAACAACAAGGAUCCAAAGACAAGAGUCAAUAGAACAGUAGCAGCAAGAAAGCUACUGUUAAAAGUGGCAGCCGUUAAACACUGCACAACACUGAUGCAAAGAAUGAAAGACAAUCUAAAGGCAAAGAUGACAUUCUGCGUCUAAGAUACUCGCUCCAUAUCUGUGAACUAGAAGCUCACUCUUGCUGUCUUAAGAUAAAAACUGUCCUCACGUGAGAAGUCAACACAUGUCUACCAAAUCCUAACAGCCUCUCCCCUCAACCUCUCCCCUUCUCAACAAGUUUUUCCUAAAUUUUAUACGGAAAUUCAAAGGACCUAGAAAAGCCACCUUUAAAAAUACUAAUUGGUUCAUUAGUUUGUUUAUUUAGGGACAGAGUCUCUC
rnacentral:sRNA from 1 species